UACGUAGGGUGCAAGCGUUAAUCGGAAUUACUGGGCGUAAAGGGCGCGUAGGCGGUUUUGUAAGUGAGAUGUGAAAUCCCUGGGCUUAACCUAGGAACUGCAUCUCAUACUGCGGAGCUAGAGUAUUGUAGAGGGUAGUGGAAUUUCCGGUGUAGCGGUGAAAUGCGUAGAGAUCGGAAGGAACACCAGUGGCGAAGGCGGCUACCUGGACAAAUACUGACGCUGAUGACGCGAAAGCGUGGGGAUCAAACAGG
rnacentral:rRNA from 1 species